rnacentral:rRNA from 1 species
GAUGAACGCUGGCGGCGUGCCUAAUACAUGCAAGUCGAGCGAACAGGCAAGGACUUUGCCUCCUUGACGUUAGCGGCAGACGUGAGUAUCACAUGUGGAUAACCCACCUUUAAGACUGGGAUAACUUCGAGAAACUGGAGCAUAUACCGGAUCAUAUAUUGAACCGCUAGGUCCAUUAGUGAAAGACAGCUUUUCUGUUACCAAAUGAAGCUUCUUCGCCGUAUUAGCUAGUUGGUAAGGCAACGGCCUACCAAGGCAAUGGUUCGUAGCCGACCUGGGAGGGAGGUCGGCCACACGGGAACUGAGACACGGUCCAAACUCCACCGGAAGCCGCCGGAAGGAAACCUUCCGCAAUGGGCGAAGGCCUGACGGAGCAACACCGCGUAAGUGAUGAAGGUCUUCGGAUCGAAAAACUCUGUUAUAAGGGAGGAACAAAUGUGUAAGUAACAAUGCACAUUUUGACGGUACCUAAUCAGAAAGCCACGGCUAACUACGUG